rnacentral:rRNA from 1 species
UACGUAGGGGGCAAGCGUUGUCCGGAUUUAUUGGGCGUAAAGAGCUCGUAGGUGGUUUGGUAAGUCGGAUGUGAAAUCUCCAGGCUCAACCUGGAGGGGUCAUUCGAUACUGCCAUGACUAGAGGUCGGUAGGGGAGUGUGGAAUUCCUGGUGGAGCGGUGAAAUGCGCAGAUAUCAGGAGGGACACCGAUGGCGAAGGCAGGUCUCUGGGCAUUAACUGACGCUGAGGAGCGAAAGCAUGGGGAGCGAACAGG